rnacentral:rRNA from 1 species
UACGUAGGGGGCAAGCGUUGUCCGGAUUUAUUGGGCGUAAAGAGCGUGUAGGCGGCUAGGUAGGUGGGUUGUGAAAACUGGAGGCUCAACCUUCAGAGGUCGACCGAAACCCCCUGGCUAGAGUCCGGGAGAGGAGAGUGGAAUUCCUGGUGUAGCGGUGAAAUGCGCAGAUAUCAGGAAGAACACCCGUGGCGAAAGCGGCUCUCUGGAACGGUACUGACGCUGAGACGCGAAAGCGUGGGGAGCGAACAGG